CUUCUUUUCCAUUCUCUCUCCCCGAAACCCCUUCUUCUUCUUCUCCCUUUUUCUUUUUCUUUUCUUUCCUUUGUUUUCUCUCCAAACCAGUCACACCCACAACCAGUCGGACCACCGCCGGAGCGCCAUUUCCGACACGCGCCGGAGCUGCAGCUUCCCUAACCGGCGAUGACGGAAACCCCAAAGUUUGGUGACCAUCGGAGCAAGGACGCGCCUGUACAGCCACUCCGAAGUUUCGCCGUCGAAACUUUGAGGUGACUUUCCGGUGAACUCCGACCACCGUUCGGCGAGUGGGUGGUACCGUUGGAAUCAGCGUCGUGAGAGGAUCGUCGCCCACUAAGUCAUUCCGGUCAACUCAACAUUUUUCUCCAGCGAGAUUUUGGGUAUCUUCGCCCUUUGGAAGCAUUUUCCGGGGACACCGGAGGUCAUUUGGGCGAAGGAGCUGUACUUUCGUGAUGUACUCAUCGAGAUGAUCGUUUUGAUAUAUGCCAUGCAUAUAUUCGUUGACGUUUCCAGUACCGCCACCAACCGCUAUUGUGCACCGCUUGGGAAAAACGUGAUUUUAAAAUCGGACUAAAUCAUUCUAAGAUCAUCGAUAAGCUUAGGAGCAUCGCUUUGGGCUCAGAUUAAAUUCUAAAGAGUGUGAUGCAGGAAAUUAAAUAUGGAGGGCGGAAGGAUUCUUGGAAGCUUGGCAUGUGUGUUGAGGAUGAACAGACUGAGUGGAUUGUGUAUCGAUCGAGGAUGACGUUUAUUUU